rnacentral:lncRNA from 1 species
UGACGGAAUCGGGCUGGGGGUCCGCGAGCGGUGGAGAGGAGGGUGAGGAGGGGGGCGACGGUGAAGAAGGAUGGUGAGGAGGGAGGCGACGGUGAAGAAGAAGGUGACGGUCCGCUUUUUUUUUCGGCGAGAAAAAAAAAAAAGAACGACAGAAACGAAGAGGAGAGAGAAAGAGGAAAGAGAAAAAGUAAUAAGGGUAUUUUGGUCAGUUUGCUGAAAAAGCGGACCGAAUCUGUAAAAACGAAAAAGGUGACCCGGUUUUGCAAAAGCCCAAAAUAAGUGAAUUUUUUUAUGCAAAAAGGCCUUUAUUUAACGCAAGAAAUAAUG